rnacentral:rRNA from 1 species
GGCGCUGGAGAACUGAGGGGGGCUGCUCCUAGUACGAGAGGACCGGAGUGGACGCAUCACUGGUGUUCGGGUUGUCAUGCCAAUGGCACUGCCCGGUAGCUAAAUGCGGAAGAGAUAAGUGCUGAAAGCAUCUAAGCACGAAACUUGCCCCGAGAUGAGUUCUCCCUGAGACUUAGAGUCUCCUGAAGGAACGUUGAAGACGACGACGUUGAUAGGCCGGGUGUGUAAGCGCAGCGAUGCGUUGAGCUAACCGGUACUAAUGAACCGUGAGGCUUAACCUUACAACGCCGAAG